GCGCUCACUUCAGCAGCACAUAUACUAAAACUGGAAUAAUACAGAGAAGAUUAGCAUGUCUCCGUGCAAGGAAAAAUCAUUUUUUAAACCCAAAGCACUUAAUAUAUUU